rnacentral:sRNA from 1 species
UCUCUUGGUCGUUGAAUACGUAUGGUU